CAGAAUUUUCCUGAUUCACGCAUCAUGGAUAGGGACAGAGACAAGAUGGCAGAGAGGAUAUUAAAUCUCACCCUAGAGAUACUCUUCCAACUUACUGGAGAGGAUUACACAGUGGUGAAGAAGACCUCUAACGAGCACUGUCAGGGUCAUGUAUCUGAAGGAUGGGGAAGAACCCUGAGCCCAAUCACAGGGCCUCCACCUCACUCCUUGAAACAUGAGGAGAUCAAUGAACAGAAGAUCCUAGAACUCACCCACAAGAUGAUUGAGCUGCUGACUGGAGAGGUUCCUAUAAGGUGUCAGGAUGUCACUGUCUAUUUCUCCAUGGAGGAGUGGGAGUAUG